GAUCCGGGAAACAAAGAGAGCUCUUUAGUGUAGACGCGAUAAUUUACAAUCCAAUGUAAUGCUGAUCAAUUCCACCAACAACCUGCAAAUAACAAGGAGAACCGUCGGAUGAAAACUUGACGCCGGCCGGUAAGCUCCGACGCUCAAGUCAUCGGAAAGACCGAAAGCUUUUAGUCAGGGAAAGUACAAUAAUGUUUAGAGAGAGAACGCACGUGGACGCGGAGGUGGGUGGAAUUCUGGGCCUACGCUUGCUUAUUGAGAUCAUGGGCCUUAUAUGAGAGUUGCCAAGCCCAUGGGCCUGUCGUAUCCUUCGGUAAUAAUCCGGUUUUCAAAACCUUGAUUUUGAAUUUUUGAUAUCUCAAAACGACGUCGAUGGACGACAGAAAAAGUGAAAAACUGGAAGUGUGAAACUGAGAGUGCAGAAAGCAAGCAGCAGAACUAGGGAAUGAAAGUGUGAUAGCGCACGCGAAAACUACCAAGAUGCCCCCUCAAUCUCCACCGGUAAAACCCAUCAAACCAUACUUCUUCUACGGCCAUCGUAAACCCUCCCAGAACCGCCCCACCGUCCGUGGUGGGCUCUUCACCAACCGCCAGUCUCUCCCGGCGAAGCCAACCAAACCCGACAACACAAAAUUCGAGCCCUUUGAUCUCCAGAAAUGGGACCCGCAACCGCACCCCCUCUCGCAAUCCCAAUCCCCGUCAAAACCACUACCACCAACACUUCACUCUCAAGAACGUCUCUCUCCAAUUGCGCGCUUUAUCGUCGACGCCUUCCGCAAGAAUCGCCAUCAGUGGGGCCCGCCAGUUGUAUCCGAGCUCCGCAAACUCCGUCGCGUAACCCCGAAACUGGUCGCCGAGGUGUUAAAAGCGGAAAAUAGCCCCACCAUAGCCUCCAAGUUCUUUCAUUGGGCAGGCAAGCAGAAGGGUUACAAACAUGACUUUGCAGCUUAUAAUGCUUUUGCUUACUGCUUGAAUCGAAAUUCCUUGUUUCGCGCCGCCGAUCAGGUCCCUGAACUGAUGGAUUCACAGGGGAAGCCACCGACAGAGAAGCAGUUUGAGAUUUUGAUCAGAAUGCAUUCUGAUUCGAAUAGAGGGCACAGAGUGUAUUACAUUUAUCAGAAGAUGAAGAAAUUUGAUGUCAAGCCUCGUCUUUUUUUGUAUAAUAGGGUAAUCGAUGCUUUAGUCAAAACGGGUCAUUUAGAUUUAGCUUUAUCAGUGUAUGAAGAUUUAAGGACUGAUGGACUGGUUGAGGAGAGUGUUACAUACAUGAUUUUGAUUAAGGGGCUGUGUAAGGCAGGGCGUAUUGAGGAAAUGUCGCAGAUUUUGGAGAGAAUGAGGGGGAAUUUGUGUAAACCUGAUGUUUUUGCAUACACAGCUAUGAUCAGGGUGUUGGUUUCUGAAGGGAAUUUGGAUGCUUGUUUACGUGUUUGGGAAGAAAUGAAGAGGGAUUAUAUCGAGCCUGAUGUGAUGGCAUAUGCAACUUUGGUGACUGGAUUGUGUAAAAAUAGGAUGGUCGAAAAGGGGUAUGAGUUUUUUAAGGAGAUGAAGGAGAAAGGGUUUUUGAUUGAUAGGGCAAUCUAUGGGGUUUUGGUUGAUGCAUUUGUAGCAGAUGGGAAGGUUGGGCCGGCUUGUGACUUGUUGAAAGAUAUGGUGGAUUCUGGGUAUAGGGCUGAUUUGGGUAUAUAUAACUCAAUUAUUGAAGGUUUAUGUAAUGUUAAGCAGGUUGAUAAGGCUCAAAAGCUUUUUCAAGUUACAGUUCAAGAGGAUCUUGAGCCCGAUUUUGUUACAGUGAAUCCCAUCUUGGUGUCUUAUGCAGUGAUGGGAAGAAUGAACGAUUUUUUGAAGUUGCUUGUGCAAAUGGAGAAGGUGGGAUUUUCUGUUCUUGAUGAUCUUUCCAAGUUCUUCUCUAUUUUGGUUAAGAAAAAAAACAGAGUUACAAUGGCUUUAGAAGUAUUUGAAAAUUUGAAAGGGAACGGUUAUAGUAGCACUCCAAUCUACAAUACUCUCAUGGAAGCUCUCCACGAGACUGGGGAGAUUAAAAAGGCUUUAUCGCUAUUUCAUGAAAUGAAGGAUUUGAAUCUUGAACUUGACUCGUCCACUUACAGUAUUGCGAUCACUUGUUUAGUCGAUGAAGAGGAUAUUCAAGAGGCUUGUGUGUGUCAUAACAAAAUUAUUGAGAUGUCCUGCAUUCCCUCCAUUUCUGCCUAUUGUUUUCUUGCCAAAGGCCUCUGCCAAAUUGGAGAGAUUGAUGAGGCUAUAAUGCUAGUUCGUGACUGUCUAGCCAAUGUUGCUAGUGGGCCCAUGGAAUUCAAGUACACUCUUACGCUUCUCCAUGUAUGUAGAUCAGGUGAUGCUGAGAAGGUGAUUGAAGUGCUAAAUGAAAUGAUGCAGGAGGGUUGUCCCCCUAAUGAAAUUAUAUACUCUGCUGUUAUAUCUGGCAUGUGUAAGCAUGGGACAUUGGAGGAGGCAAGGAAGGUUUUUGCAAAUUUGAGAGAGCGCAAACUGUUGACAGAAGCCAAUUCAAUUGUUUAUGACGAAAUAUUGAUUGAACACAUGAAGAAGAAGACUGCAGAUUUGGUGCUUUCAGGAUUGAAGUUCUUUCAUCUGGAAUCCAAGUUGAAAGCAAAGGGUUCUACACUGCUGUCAGGUUCAUAAUAUGAAGCUAGGUACUGAUCUUGUUGAAAUAGCUGAUCCUCUUUGAGAGAGAGCAAGUUUGAUGGACUUGCUGUUGACCUCACAAAGUCAUAUAAACCUUUGUUAUCCUUUUUUUCAACAAGUAUAGGUUCAUAUCUACAGACACGAACAGCUGAACAUAUAGCUUUUGCAUAGUAAUGUUGCUAAGACACUUGUCAGUGGAUAUGGAUGACUGACGUGUGACAAACCUGUACACCUGAGUAUAAAACUUGGCUACUUAAGGUGACUGAAAACCUUUAUGUUCGUUUUCAUCUUCUGAUAAGGAGCAAUCUCUUUUAUUUUGUGGUUCUCAGUUGACUGAACUGGCCUCAUUGUUCACUUUUCUGUAGCAUGCAUUAGGCUGUUUUUGUAUGUGGCAGAGGAAAAAUUGAAGAAGCAUGAGAAAUUGUCAAUAUAUUACAAACAAUCUUGAAAGACCACUUGGCUUGAAUAUCUUUAUCACUUGAAGGAAGCUUCAGCAACUGAAACAAUGCACUUGAAGAAUAUGAUGGGAUGAUGGAGUGUUUGGAUAUGACGGCUGGGAAUCAUGGGUUUUGCCUUCUUGGUGUCCGUCUCUCGAGCCAAUAAUUGCACUGGAAAUCAGCAGAAAAUGUAUGAUUGAUGAACUUAACCGGCUUGGCAACAUUAUCCCUGCCUAUCGUCUAAGCAAGCUCUAUAAUGCUGGCUUCAUCCUUUGAAGGCAAUCGACUCCAACUUGUAAAUCUCCGGUGGGCCACUGCUUGAGAAUAAUGCCAUAAUGGUAUUGCUUCCGGUCGGAUGGUUACAAGAAUUCAGCUUGAAUAUGUAUUGCUCAACCUCUUAGGAGACUUCAUGCUUGUUUUACUCGUUGGUAACGGAGAUAUCCAGAGGGACAGGGUAAAGUUGUAGUCAGCAAAUUAUGCUCAUAGAAAUCUGGUUGAAGAUGUCUCUGGUUUUUGAUGAUUUUGUGACUUUGUUGCUUGUAGAGUUCGUUAAAGGUGGAUACAGUUCUUUCCAAAGUUAAGAUUGAUUACUUUUCACGUCUUAAUGAGAAAUAAAUAUUACCUAA